rnacentral:rRNA from 1 species
CAUACGGGUUGAAGCAUGACCGUAAGGACAUGUGGACAGUAUGGGAGUGAGAAUGUUGGCAUGAGUAGCGAGAUGUGGGUGAGAAUCCCACAGGCCGUAAACCCAAGGUUUCCAGGGGAAGGUUCGUCCGCCCUGGGUUAGUCGGGACCUAAGCUGAGGCCGAAAGGCGUAGGUGAUGGACAACAGGUUGAUAUUCCUGUAC